GACUUGACAUGCAUGGAUUAACUCCUGGAAACAGGAGCCAGGCCUUCGGGUACAACGUGCACAGGUGCUGCAUGGCUGUCGUCAGCUCGUGUCGUGAGAUGUCGGGUUAAGUCCCUUAACGAGCGAAACCCUUGUCUCUAGUUGCCAGCGGGUCAUGCCGAGAACUCUAGAGAGACUGCCGGCGUUAAACCGGAGGAAGGUGGGGAUGACGUCAAGUCCUCAUGGCCUUUAUGAUUAGGGCUGCACACGUCCUACAAUGGCGCGAACAAAGGGAAGCAAACUCGCGAGAGCAAGCAAAUCCCAAAAAACGCGCCUCAGUUCGGAUUGCAGGCUGCAACUCGCCUGCAUGAAGCCGGAAUCGCUAGUAAUCGCGGGUCAGCAUACCGCGGUGAAUAUGUUCCUGAGCC
rnacentral:rRNA from 1 species